UGGGGAAUUUUGGACAAUGGGCGAAAGCCUGAUCCAGCAAUGCCGCGUGUGUGAAGAGGGCCUUCGGGUUGUAAAGCACUUUUGUCCGGAAAGAAAUCCUUGGCUCUAAUACAGUCGGGGGAUGACGGUACCGGAAGAAUAAGCACCGGCUAACUACGUGCCAGCAGCCGCGGUAAUACGUAGGGUGCAAGCGUUAAUCGGAAUUACUGGGCGUAAAGCGUGCGCAGGCGGUUUGCUAAGACCGAUGUGAAAUCCCCGGGCUCAACCUGGGAACCGCAUUGGUGACUGGCAGGCUAGAGUAUGGCAGAGGGGGGUAGAAUUCCACGUGUAGCAGUGAAAUGCGUAGAGAUGUGGAGGGAAUACCGAUGGCGAAGGCAGCCCCCUGGGCCAAUACUGACGCUCAUGCACGAAAGCGUGGGGGAGCAAACAGGAUUAGAUACCCUGGUAGUCCACGCCCUAAACGAUGUCAACUAGUUGUUGGGGAUUCAUUUCCUUAGUAACGUAGCUAACCGCGUGAAGUUGACCGCCUGGGGAGUAA
rnacentral:rRNA from 1 species